rnacentral:rRNA from 1 species
GUACACGCUGUGACUAGCAUAUCAAUAAGCGGAGGAAAAGAAACUAACAAGGAUUCCCUUAGUAACGGCGAGUGAAGCGGGAAGAGCUCAAAUUUGAAAUCUUCAAGGUUUUACCUUGACGAAUUGUAGUUUAAAGAAGUGUUUUCUGUUACGAUCGUAAUAUAAGUUCUUUGGAAUAGGACAUCACAGAGGGUGAGAAUCCCGUCUAUGAUUGCGAUUUGUAGCUUUGUGAUACACUUUCAAAGAGUCGGGUUGUUUGGGAAUGCAGCCCAAAACGGGAGGUAAAUUUCUUCUAAGGUUAAAUAUUGGCGAGAGACCGAUAGCGAACAAGUACCGUGAGGGAAGGAUGAAAAGAACUUUGAAAAGAGAGUUAAAUAGUACGUGAAAUUGUCAAAAGGGAAGCGUUUAACACCAGUGUUGUUUUCUGAAAAUCAACCUCUGUUAGCUUUAUGCAUGUUCGUUUAGACCUAAUCAGCUAUCUUGCAUGUUCUAUUGUUUGCAGUGGUGCACUUUUCAGUUUACAGGUCAACAUCAGUUUUUUUUACCGUAAAAAAGUUAAAGAAAGGUAGCUCAUGGCUCCGGUCGUGAGUGUUAUAGUCUUUUUCCUAUGCGGUAGGAGAGACUGAGGUCUGCAGUGUAGGCUAUUUGGCUAGAUACUCAGGUGCUAUGUGAUACCAUUUCAUAAACAACUUGUUGAUUAUGUUUUGUCUAUUGCAUACUCGCUUGUACUAUCAUACCUACGCUUAGGAUGUUGAGUAGCGACAUACGCAC